GCAGCGCCGCGGUAAUACGAAGGGUGCAAGCGUUAAUCGGAAUUACUGGGCGUAAAGCGUGCGUAGGCGGUUUGUCAAGUCUGUUGUGAAAUCCCCGGGCUCAACCUGGGAAUGGCAAUGGAUACUGGCAAGCUAGAGUGUGUCAGAGGAUGGUGGAAUUCCCGGUGUAGCGGUGAAAUGCGUAGAGAUCGGGAGGAACAUCAGUGGCGAAGGCGGCCAUCUGGGACAACACUGACGCUGAGGCACGAAAGCGUGGGGAGCAAACAGGAUUAGAUACCCCCGUAGUCCCUGUCUCUUAUACA
rnacentral:rRNA from 1 species